ensembl:lncRNA
UUAGAGUGUGUGUUAGAGUGUGUGUUGGAGUGUUGGUUAGAGUGUGUGUUAGAGUGUGUUGGAGUGUUGGUUAGAGUGUGUGUUAGAGUGUGUGUUGGAGUGUUGGUUAGAGUGUGUGUUAGAGUGUGUGUUAGAGUGUGUUGGAGUGUUGGUUAGAGUGUGCGUUAGAGUGUGUGUUAGAGUGUGUGUUGGAGUGUUGGUUAGAGUGUGUGUUAGAGUGUGUUGGAGUGUUGGUUAGAGUGUAUGUUAGAGUGUGUGUUAGAGUGUGUGUUGGAGUGUUGGUUAGAGUGUGUGUUAGAGUGUGUUGGAGUGUUGGUUAGAGUGUGUGUUAGAGUGUGUGUUGGAGUGUGGUUAGAGUGUGUGUUAGAGUGUGUUGGAGUGUUGGUUAGAGUGUGUGUUAGAGUGUAUGUUAGAGUGUGUGUUGGAGUGUUGGUUAGAGUGUGUGCAAGAGUGUGUGUUAGAGUGUGUGUUGGAGUGUUGGUUAGAGUGUGUGUUGGAGUGUGUUGGAGUGUGUGUUGGAGUGUGUUGGAGUGUGUGUUGAGUGUUGGUUAGAGUGUGUGUUAGAGUGUGUGUUGGAGUGUUAAUUUACUGUGCAGAAGUGUGUGUUAGUGUUUAAAAGUGUGUAUCAGUGUGUAGAAGUGUGCGCUAGCUGCAGAACCUCAGUGGUAUACUAUUUACAGAGCAGAAACAUGACAGUGUGUAUUAUUUGUUUACUAUGAGUACCAGGUUGUUGCACACCGUAACCAUGGAAACUACUAAUGUGUGAAUAAAGUGAUAUGUGGAACUGAUAGUAACACAUGAGGACGUAUGAGGAGAUAAAUAUGUAAAUAUAUAAACAUCAUCACGUCCUCAUAUCAGUUCACAUAUCAGUCUUUAUAUAGAGAGUAUCGGUUCAUUAUAUUACUUAAUGAACAUAAAUUAUCAGGGUUCUGUAUCUGUGAGGGACUGCUCUUAGGGGAGAUGGUUCUGUAUCUGUGAGGGACUGCUCUUAGGGGAGAAGGUUCUGUACCUGUGAGGGGCUGCUCUUAGGGGAGAAGGUUCUGUACCUGUGAGAGACUGCUCUUAGGGGAGAAGGUUCUGUAUAUGUGAGGGACUGCUCUUAGGGGAGAAGGUUCUGUACCUGUGAGAGACUGCUCUUAGGGGAGAAGGUUCUGUAUAUGUGAGGGACUGCUCUUAGGGGAGAAG